UACGUAGGGGCCGAGCGUUGUCCGGAGUUAUUGGGCGUAAAGCGCGCGCAGGCGGCUUCGCGCGCCCGACGUGAAAGCCCCCGGCUUAACCGGGGAGAGUCGUUGGGGACGGCGGAGCUUGAGGGCGGGAGAGGUCGGUGGAAUUCCCGGUGUAGUGGUGAAAUGCGUAGAGAUCGGGAGGAACACCUGUGGCGAAGGCGGCCGACUGGGCCGACCCUGACGCUGAGGCGCGAAAGCGUGGGGAGCAAACAGG
rnacentral:rRNA from 1 species